GGGAUUAGUGGCGAACGGGUGAGUAACACGUGGGCAAUCUGCCCUUCACUCUGGGACAAGCCCUGGAAACGGGGUCUAAUACCGGAUACGACACUCUCGGGCAUCCGAUGAGUGUGGAAAGCUCCGGCGGUGAAGGAUGAGCCCGCGGCCUAUCAGCUUGUUGGUGAGGUAACGGCUCACCAAGGCGACGACGGGUAGCCGGCCUGAGAGGGCGACCGGCCACACUGGGACUGAGACACGGCCCAAACUCCUACGGGAGGCAGCAGUGGGGAAUAUUCCACAAUGGGCGAAACCCUGAUGCAGCGACCCCCCGUGAGGGAUGACGCCCUUCGGGUUGUAAACCUCUUUCAGCAGGGAAGAAGCGAAAGUGACGGUACCUGCAGAAGAAGCGCCGGCUAACUACGUGCCAGCACCCGCGGUAAUACGUAGGGCGCGAGCGUUGUCCGGAAUUAUUGGGCGUAAAGAGCUCGUAGGCGGUCUGUCGCGUCGGAUGUGAAAGCCCGGGGCUUAACCCCGGGUCUGCAUUCGAUACGGGCAGACUAGAGUGUGGUAGGGGAGAUCGGAAUUCCUGGUGUAGCGGUGAAAUGCGCAGAUAUCAGGAGGAACACCGGUGGCGAAGGCGGAUCUCUGGGCCAUUACUGACGCUGAGGAGCGAAAGCGUGGGGAGCGAACAGGAUUAGAUACCCUGGUAGUCCACGCCGUAAACGGUGGGAACUAGGUGUUGGCGACAUUCCACGUCGUCGGUGCCGCAGCUAACGCAUUAAGUUCCCCGCCUGGGGAGUACGGCCGCAAGGCUAAAACUCAAAGGAAUUGACGGGGGCCCGCACAAGCAGCGGAGCAUGUGGCUUAAUUCGACGCAACGCGAAGAACCUUACCAAGGCUUGACAUACACCGGAAACGGCCAAAAAUGGUCGCCCCCUUGUGGUCGGUGUACAGGUGGUGCAUGGCUGUCGUCAGCUCGUGUCGUGAGAUGUUGGGUUAAGUCCCGCAACGAGCGCAACCCUUGUUCUGUGUUGCCAGCAUGCCCUUCGGGGUGAUGGGGACUCACAGGAGACUGCCGGGGUCAACUCGGAGGAAGGUGGGGACGACGUCAAGUCAUCAUGCCCCUUAUGUCUUGGGCUGCACACGUGCUACAAUGGCAGGUACAAUGAGCUGCGAAGCCGUGAGGCGGAGCGAAUCUCAAAAAGCCUGUCUCAGUUCGGAUUGGGGUCUGCAACUCGACCCCAUGAAGUCGGAGUUGCUAGUAAUCGCAGAUCAGCA
rnacentral:rRNA from 1 species